AUGAACGCUGGCGGCGUGCCUCAUACACGCCAGUCGAGCGCACAGAUGAGGAGCUUGCUCCUCUGACGUUAGCGGCGGACGGGUGAGUAACACGUGGAUAACCUACCUAUAAGACUGGGAUAACUUCGGGAAACCGGAGCUAAUACCGGAUAAUAUAUUGAACCGCAUGGUUCAAUAGUGAAAGACGGUUUUGCUGUCACUUAUAGAUGGAUCCGCGCCGCAUUAGCUAGUUGGUAAGGUAACGGCUUACCAAGGCAACGAUGCGUAGCCGACCUGAGAGGGUGAUCGGCCACACUGGAACUGAGACACGGUCCAGACUCCUACGGGAGGCAGCAGUAGGGAAUCUUCCGCAAUGGGCGAAAGCCUGGCGGAGCAACGCCGCGUGAGUGAUGAAGGUCUUCGGAUCGUAAAACUCUGUUAUUAGGGAAGAACAAAUGUGUAAGUAACUAUGCACGUCUUGACGGUACCUAAUCAGAAAGCCACGGCUAACUACGUG
rnacentral:rRNA from 1 species